AGAGCCUUUAAUCCAGUCCCGUGAGGCUGGCAAGGUUGCGGAAUUCAUCAGGUAGUAGUUUAUUUGAUCUGCUUCUUGUCCAGCUCUGGGGCAAGAAGCUUUUUUU
rfam:Seinonella peptonophila strain DSM 44666 genome assembly, contig: Ga0131105_102